UAGAGUAGGGAUAGUCUCGUUCAGGUAAAGUCUACUAUCCAUUGUCCUCGGCGUCUCCGCACAGUCGUCCAACUGUCCAGACUCCAAUAGAAGCACUUUCCAAAUAUGCCAACAAUUCCAGACGAUCUGAAGAACUUGGAUAUUUCCUGCGAAAACAUCUUUGUGAAAACUUGCAAAAACUUUGAAGAAGCUACAAAGAGAGACACUGUGGAUUGUUGUUUUGGUGAAAAUCAUUUUGAAAAGGACAAGAUACCAACAGCUGAAAUAGACAAUG